AGUAGCAAGAACACUCCUAAAAAUCCAUUUAAAAAUGGAUUUUUAAAUAUCAUUUCCUACUAAAAGAAACUAGGGCUUGUUAGGCAAAUGGCAGAUUACAGGAGGUUCCUACAAAUAAUAGGUCAAUUUGAACACUAAUAAAAAUU